UACGUAGGCAGCAAGCGUUGUUCGGAGUUACUGGGCGUAAAGGGUGUGUAGGCGGUUCUUUAAGUUUGCUGUGAAAUCUCCCGGCUUAACCGGGAGGGUGCGGUGAAUACUGAGGGACUAGAGUACGGGAGAGGAAAGUGGAAUUCCUGGUGUAGCGGUGAAAUGCGUAGAUAUCUGGAGGAACACCGGUGGCGAAGGCGGCAUCCUGGACCGGCAUUGACGCUGAGGCGCGAAAGCCAGGGGAGCAAACGGG
rnacentral:rRNA from 1 species